GAUGAACGCUGGCGGCGUGCCUAAUACAUGCAAGUCGAGCGAACAGACGAGGAGCUUGCUCCUCUGACGUUAGCGGCGGACGGGUGAGUAACACGUGGAUAACCUACCUAUAAGACUGGGAUAACUUCGGGAAACCGGAGCUAAUACCGGAUAAUAUAUUGAACCGCAUGGUUCAAUAGUGAAAGACGGUUUUGCUGUCACUUAUAGAUGGAUCCGCGCCGCAUUAGCUAGUUGGUAAGGUAAAGGCUUACCAAGGCAACGAGGCGUAGCCGACCUAAGAGGGGGAUCGGCCACACUGGAACUAAGACCCGGUCCAGACUCCUACGGGAGGCAGCAGUAGGGCAUCUUCCGCAAGGGGCGAAAGCCUGACGGAGCAACGCCGCGUGAGGGAUGAAGGUCUUCGGAUCGUAAAACUCUGUUAUUAGGGAAGAACAAAUGUGUAAGUAACUAUGCACGUCUUGACGGUACCUAAUCAGAAAGCCACGGCUAACUACG
rnacentral:rRNA from 1 species